GAGAGAGGAAAACAUCAUUUGUGAGAGACCGUCUAUCCUUGGCCAGAGCUGCUGCAACGAAAGAAGCUGCUAGAAUCAAAGCAGAAUGUGGUGUUAAAGAGUCUGCUUCCACAAUGGAGGAAAUCAGUAUCGAAGAUGCAUUUGUGGAUCUUCACUGUGAAGAGGAAGAGGACCCUGCAUGGACAACAUGUGAUGACUGUAAGGCUGAACAUUAUGAAACUGGAACAGACGGUAAAGCUCUUUGUCGCCACGUGAAGACAACAGUGUAUAACGUCAGCCAUCAGUUAGUGUUUCAGCCUCAGGAGACUCCUGUUGGAGUAGUAGAGAGCUACAUCAUGAUCAGCUGCACGA